rnacentral:rRNA from 1 species
GACGAACGCUGGCGGCGUGCCUAAUACAUGCAAGUCGAACGAAGCUGUUUUAACUGGUGCUUGCACCGACUUAAACAACUGAGUGGCGAACGGGUGAGUAACACGUGGGUAACCUGCCCCAAAGCGGGGGAUAACAUUUGGAAACAGAUGCUAAUACCGCAUAACCACAGAAACCACAUGGUUUCAGUGUCAAAGAUGGUUUCGGCUAUCACUUUGGGAUGGCCCCGCGGCGUAUUAGCUAGUUGGUAAGGUAAUGGCUUACCAAGGCAAUGAUACGUAGCCGAACUGAGAGGUUGAUCGGCCACAUUGGGAAUGAGACACGGCCCAAACUCCUACGGAGGCAGCAGUAGGGAAUCUUCCACAAUGGACGAAAGUCUGAUGGAGCAACGCCGCGUGAGUGAAGAAGGUUUUCGGAUCGUAAAACUCUGUUGUCAGAGAAGAACGUGUGCGAGAGUAACUGUUCGUGCAGUGACGGUAUCUGGCCAGAAAGCCACGGCUAACUACGUGCCAGCAGCCGCAGUAA